CCAGACCUUUCAGAGCCACUGACACGCCGGCAGCACAAUGAGGAUGUCACUGACUCUACUGCUGGCCACCCUGGGGCUCCUUGUUCAGGAUUCAUCAGGAGAAAUCAUCCUGACUCAGUCUCCUAAAGCUCAGUCUGUUGUUCCAGGACAGACUGUCUCUAUCAGAUGUAAAGCCAGUUCAAGUAUGGGCAGCUACCUUCACUGGUACCUUCAGAAACCUGGAGAAUCUCCCAAACUUUUGAUUCAUUAUGCCACAACUCGUCAGUCUGGAGUUUCAAAUCGUUUCAGUGGGAGUGGAUCUGGAACUGACUUCACUUUGACCAUCAGUACAGUUCAGAUUGAGGAUGCAGGAGUUUACUAUUGUCUACAGAGUGGUCACAGUUUCCCGUUCACACAGUGAUACAACGUCGUACAAAAACCUCCCUCAGCUGGAGAGGAACUGAUCUGAAUCAACAGCUGCACAGAAAUACAGACACUUUAGACAUUUAACAGACAGUGAAGUCCAUAUAACAGAAGACCAUCAGUAAAUAUGAUGUAUAGCGUAGUAAGUCCUAAUGGUAACCUUGUUGAAAUAGAGUAGGAAAUAAGUUUGAUACAUCCAUUGUAGAUUAGUUGAAAGGUAGAUGAGUUAUUACAGAUAACAAGACAUUAACACUUUUUGUCAUUUGCUUUGAAAUAGAAAAUUUACUUUCAAGUUUUUUAAAGUAGUUUAGAUGUCCUUUUAAUUUCAUAUUAUUCAUAUUUAAGUCAGAGUUUAGUUUUCAACAAACGUAAACACACUACAUAUUUUAAAGACCUU